GAUGAACGCUGGCGGCGUGCUUAACACAUGCAAGUCGAGCGAAACACUUAUUAGAUUUUCUUCGGAAUUGAAGAUUUGUGAUUGAGCGGCGGACGGGUGAGUAACGCGUGGGUAACCUACCAUAUACAGGGGGAUAACAGUUAGAAAUGACUGCUAAUACCGCAUAAGCGCACAGUGCUGCAUGGCACAGUGUGAAAAACUCUGGUGGUAUAUGAUGGACCCGCGUCUGAUUAGUUAGUUGGUGAGGUAAUGGCUCACCAAGGCAGCGAUCAGUAGCCGACCUGAGAGGGUGACCGGCCACAUUGGGACUGAGACACGGCCCAAACUCCUACGGGAGGCAGCAGUGGGGAAUAUUGCACAAUGGGCGAAAGCCUGAUGCAGCGACGCCGCGUGAGUGAAGAAGUAUUUCGGUAUGUAAAGCUCUAUCAGCAGGGAAGAAAAAAAUGACGGUACCUGACUAAGAAGCCCCGGCUAACUACGUG
rnacentral:rRNA from 1 species